UGAGUACACUACUACAGUGAUUGGGGGGAUUGGAAUGUGAGAGGAACCCCUCAGCAGAUACCGAGGUCGGUGAGGAAGGCGGGGGACGAGGUGCGCCGGAGGAGGGGAUGCCCCUGCAGCCCGUGGUGAGACGGCAGGCUGUCCCCCCAGCCCAUGGAGGGGAGCGGGAGAGCAG